UUUGGAAAAAAAAAUCACUAAAAUUGGAACGAUACAGAGAAGAUUAACAUGGCAAGGAUCCUGCACAAAGAUGACAUGCAAAUUCGUGAAGCGUUCCAUAUUUUC